AAUAGAUACCCGGGUAGUCCACGCCGUAAAACGAUGUCGACUUGGAGGUUGUUCCCCUUGAGGAGUGGCGUUCCGGAGCUAACGCGUUAAGUCGACCGCCUGGGGAGUACGGCCGCAAGGUUAAAACUCAAAUGAAUUGACGGGGGCCCGCACAAGCGGUGGAGCAUGUGGUUUAAUUCGAUGCAACGCGAAGAACCUUACCUACUCUUGACAUCCAGAGAACUUAGUAGAGAUGCUUUGGUGCCUUCGGGAACUCUGAGACAGGUGCUGCAUGGCUGUCGUCAGCUCGUGUCGUGAAAUGUUGGGUUAAGUCCCGCAACGAGCGCAACCCUUAUCCUUUGUUGCCAGCGGUUCGGCCGGGAACUCAAAGGAGACUGCCAGUGAUAAACUGGAGGAAGGUGGGGAUGACGUCAAGUCAUCAUGGCCCUUACGAGUAGGGCUACACACGUGCUACAAUGGCGUAUACAAAGAGAAGCGACCUCGCGAGAGCAAGCGGACCUCAUAAAGUACGUCGUAGUCCGGAUUGGAGUCUGCAACUCGACUCC
rnacentral:rRNA from 1 species